GCGACACUAGCUCAGUUGGUAGAGCGCAAACCUUGCCAAAGGGUUUGAGGUCACGUAGUUUACGAAACCGUCGUGUGUCGCUCCA
rnacentral:tRNA from 1 species